rnacentral:rRNA from 1 species
UUGGUUAAGUUAGAAAGGGCGCACGGUGGAUGCCUUGGCACUAGGAGCCGAAGAAGGACGGGACUAACACCGAUAUGCUUUGGGGAGCUGUACGUAAGCGUUGAUCCAGAGAUUUCCGAAUGGGGGAACCCACUAUCUUUAGUCGGAUAGUAUCCUUACGUGAAUACAUAGCGUGAGGAAGGCAGACCCAGGGAACUGAAACAUCUAAGUACCUGGAGGAAGAGAAAGAAAAAUCGAUUUCCUGAGUAGCGGCGAGCGAAACGGAAAGAGCCCAAACCAAGAAGCUUGCUUCUUGGGGUUGUAGGACACUCUAUACGGAGUUACAAAAGAAAGUUAUAAAUGAAGCGGUCUGGAAAGGCCCGCCAAAGACGGUAACAGCCCGGUAGUUGAAAUGGCUUUCCCUCCAGAGUGGAUCCUGAGUACGGCGGAACACGUGAAAUUCCGUCGGAAUCCGGGAGGACCAUCUCCCAAGGCUAAAUACUCCCUAGUGACCGAUAGUGAACCAGUACCGUGAGGGAAAGGUGAAAAGCACCCCGGAAGGGGAGUGAAACAGUUCCUGAAACCGUGUGCCUACAAGUAGUUAGAGCCCGUUAAUGGGUGAUAGCGUGCCUUUUGUAGAAUGAACCGGCGAGUUACGAUUUGUUGCAAGGUUAAGCGGAAAAAGCGGAGCCGUAGCGAAAGCGAGUCUGAAUAGGGCGCAUAAGUAACAGGUCGUAGACCCGAAACCAGGUGAUCUACCCAUGUCCAGGAUGAAGGUAAGGUAAUACUUACUGGAGGUCCGAACCCACGCACGUUGAAAAGUGCGGGGAUGAGGUGUGGGUAGCGGAGAAAUUCCAAUCGAACUUGGAGAUAGCUGGUUCUCUCCGAAAUAGCUUUAGGGCUAGCCUCGAGGUAAAGAGUCAUGGAGGUAGAGCACUGUUUGGACUAGGGGCCCUUCUCGGGUUACCGAAUUCAGAUAAACUCCGAAUGCCAUGUACUUAUACUCGGGAGUCAGACUGCGAGUGAUAAGAUCCGUAGUCGAAAGGGAAACAGCCCAGACCACCAGUUAAGGUCCCCAAAUAUAUGUUAAGUGGAAAAGGAUGUGGGGUUGCUUAGACAACCAGGAUGUUGGCUUAGAAGCAGCCACCAUUGAAAGAGUGCGUAAUAGCUCACUGGUCGAGUGACCCCGCGCCGAAAAUGUACCGGGGCUAAACAUAUUACCGAAACUGUGGAUGAACCUCUUUAGAGGUUCGUGGUAGGAGAGCGUUCUAAGGGCGGUGAAGUCAGACCGGAAGGACUGGUGGAGCGCUUAGAAGUGAGAAUGCCGGUAUGAGUAGCGAAAGAAGGGUGAGAAUCCCUUCCACCGAAUAUCUAAGGUUUCCUGAGGAAGGCUCGUCCGCUCAGGGUUAGUCGGGACCUAAGCCGAGGCCGAUAGGCGUAGGCGAUGGACAACAGGUAGAGAUUCCUGUAC